GAUCCCCGCCAACUCACGACUCUUCCUGCCUGCCUGCUACGAACCCUAGGACCCGCCGUCACGCGGUUUCGAUACGAAUUGAACGGGGCGGCGGUCGAAUGACGAAACCCUAGGAUGGGAUGGAUGCGCGUGGGUGGGAAGAGCCCUUUUUUUCCUUCCAUCUCUCUCCAAGUUAGGCAGGCGGGGCAUGGGCUGCUGCCUAAUUCGGACAUUAACUGUGCGAUGUGGGUUUGCCGAAUCUGGAAACGGAAUGGGGAUCAGGGUACGGGGGAUUCGCCAAAUCUAGCGACGGCUUCCAAGGGACGUUUAUGGAUUCUGGAAAUUUUUCCACGGGAUUUCCUGAUUUAAGACUGGGCGAUAAAUACCCUAUCCUGGUAGAUCGAGCAAACAGAAGCAGGCUAUGCCAUGCUAGUGGUAGCAAUGAAUGGAACAGGGUACAUGAUCUUUAUUUGUGCUGCCGUAUAUUAACUUUUCUCUUGCUAAUUGAUUUCUAGCACUCGACAUAGGGGUUUGGAGGUACAUUGUUUACCCCCAUCAUUAGUUGCUUUUGCUUGUUCAGUUUUUAGUAGUUCAUCAUCUGUUUAGUCAAAUAGAGGACACGUGUUAGAUUCAUUUGCUUUUUGUUUGAAUAGUGGAUUGUUCAUCUAAUUUGGACAGUUGCUAUGUUGUAGUUAAUUGUCAACCUAGUUUCUGACUUUUUGGUGAGUAGAAUUGGCAGAUUUGUUACACUGCUACUGGAACAUCAUGUUUUGUUGGUUGUCAGUUAGAACCCAUUGUUUUUUAGAUGACAUGUAUGAUUUUGUACUGAUUUGGGUGGGAUUUUGUUGUAUGCGUACUUCUUCUGUUGUAACAUUUAAUUCAGAGUAUAACGGCAUCUACAACGUACAACACCAGGUGCUAGAGGCUGGUGCUAGGAUUGAUUUCCUGCCUGUUUAGUGGUUGUGCUGUUAAAUCCUGGUGUUCGACGUAGCAUCGACGCAAAAGCAUGCGCCAAGCGCUUGGCUCGUUUCUUUCCCGCACGAAGUGCCUAGUUGCGUAAUUAGCGCAUAUAAAUCAGUGUCCGCUGUUGAAAGGUAAGGCGGUGCCUUUUAAAGUUUAUGAUAUUUAUUUAUUCCCCCUAAGCGUCUGUCCAGACGUCUAGCAUUGUAGAUGCUGUAAGUGAAUUGUAGUUGCGCCUUGGUCAAUUUUGUAAUAAAGGGAUAUUUUUAUAGUCUGUAAAUUAAAUUCCUCCUUGGGUAGCUUUUAAUAAUAGUUCAUACUUAACCUUCUGACUUCAUUGGAAGCACAUAUCCUCUAUUCUGUUUGAAGUGGACUUGAAUAUCAAGUUUGAUAUUCCUGUAACAUUGUAGUAGUCAUCAAGCUAUUUAUUUCAGAUAGAAGGUUUGGAGAGUCAUUUGUGCUACUGGUAAACUGUUAGGAGUUGAAUAGAUUUUUUGGAAUUGUUGGAUGUGAUCAGCUGAAGGCACUCCUGUUGUAAAUAGCUUUAAUUUAGGGUUGUCUUUAAAUCAUUGCUGUCCAAAGGGGUCAUUUACCAUUUAUAGGCAUGUGCUUAUUUUAGUUGAUGUUUUAUUCAGACUAGCUCUAGAUCAUUUUCCCAUUUGGAACUUUUGGUCAAGUUUGUAGACCUCCACUUUAGUGAUGAUAUAAUUCGGAGUAGCUGUGAAUCAAUAUUGGUGUUUAUUCAUCGGUUGUCUAACUGGGUGUGUGCCUUUUGGUUUGAGUGGCAUGAAGAGAACAUUCGUUGGUUGUAGCGAUUGCUUUUUUUUUGAAAGAUAGCGUGUUUGUCCAUCGGAGCCAACUUGCCAUUUCUGCAAAUCUAAGAGAAGCCCAUCACUAAUAAAACAUUUGAGCGCUCAAUGGAUAAAAUGCCGAAUCUUCAUAGAGUAAUCAAGCCAGGGUUGGAGAAAAAGCGGAAUAUAAAAAGAGGAGCAGAGAGGCAUGGGUAAGUAGAGAAGCAGGGGCAUGGUAAGAAGCAUGGAUUUUAAGUCGCGCGACUAGUCGAUGAGUUGCAAAAAAAUGUCGACUCGACUUAGUGUCGACUCGAGUUGCGAGUCGCGACUAGUCGCAACUGCCGGCUCGACUUUUUCCGAGUCGCAACCCCAGAGCGACUCGGAUGAGUCAGAGCGACUCGGACUCAUCCGAGUCGCGACUCGAAAACUAUGGUAAGAAGAAGAACAGGGCUUGGGGUGGUGGUGGCUCGGAAGCAGAAGGUGGAUGAGAAUAAGAGGAACUGAGGAAUAAUAUGACUGCGAGAGGGUGGAGGAGAAGCAUAGGUAGGAGGCAGUGAUUCCUGAGGCUGAAACAAUUGUAGGUGGUGGUGAAGCAGGAGGGAGGAGAUGGUGGCGGAUUAUAGGAGCUUACCCGCAGUUUAGAAUACAGUCGUAAUUUGGGAUUAGGGUUGAGAUUAUUACUGGAUUAGGCCCUAGGGCUUAUGCGAAGUCAGUGAGACCUCUUGUAGUGCAUAGGUACUUUAGAUGAGGUGCUAAGUGCAUGAAAGGGCUUAGCAACUAAACUCUCCAAUGCAUAGGUGCUUUGUUUCUUGUUGCUAAGCUCUCUUCAUUUAAUGAGUUGUAGACUGUAAGUUGUGUUUUCAUCUAGGUGCAUGCACCUAGCAUCGUUCCUUCGUGGGCUCAUCAAACUCCUCUCUCCUCUUAAUCACCUUGCCACAUCAGAUUUUUUGCAUACUUGGGCAGCCUUUGCCCCUGUACAAGGUGGAGUAUUGGAAGGGCCUCGAAGUUUUUAGGCUCAUUUAUUGAGCUACACUCUCUCCCUCUUCUACAUCCAUUAAUGUAUCCUGUGUUUGAUAGGGAACCCCUUUUUAGUUUGGAAGAAAUUGAUACUAGUCUUGCUACAAGCUUUAAUUAUUUUUUGUCUGUAGCAAUAUGUUAAAUAUUGCUGUACUUCAUGUUGAUAGUAUAGAUGCCUUGUCCCAAACAUAAUGGUGUGUAUGACAAUGUUUAGCUUUAGGUAGUUAUGUAAACCUUUUCAACGAGUGCAGCCCACUCUUUUCUGCUUGAUAUGUUCCACAUACUUAUUUACGUUGUCUGUAAAGGGUCUGUCUGGAUGUGGAGAUCCUGGAUUCCUAGAAUCCAAUUUCUUGAGAUGGAUAUGAAGUGGGCAACAAGAGGACGAAGGGGGCUGGGUCUGAACAUGACAGGAAUGCAGCGAAGAAUCGUAUUCAGGUCGCAUAACCUGAUCAAGAUUUGUCUUUUCUGUAGUACCAUACAAUGAGGGUUCUGCUGUAACUGUUCACUUCCUUGUUCAGCUCUGCUUCUGCCUCUUGUUGACGGGCUAUGUCAGUAAAUGAAAUGAAGCAUCCAGGCACCCCUUGAACACCCUGUUUAUGAUUGUAUAUUACUAACAUACUACGCUGGUUGUUGCAGAUUUCUUGCUAUACAGAAGGUCAUUAAUAGUUCUCUUCCAGUAGGUGCUAUUGCCCUAGAAGAUUGUUACUGAAUCCACCAGUUAAAUAUUCAAGUUAUAUGCAUUUACACAUGACAUGGGGUCUCGUGGAAGGAUGUUAUUUGACCUCAAUGAGCUCCCAACAGAAGCUGACGAAGAAGAAGCUGCUGUUGUUGUGUCCCAACCUCAACUUCCUGUUCCCAAUAUGUAUCCCUCAAAUUUGUUUCCACCACAAGAAGUGCCUUGGUCACAAGGGAUAUUAAACAAUCAUGCCUUUAAUCAUGCAUCUUCUGGUUCAGGUUUUCAGCCUUUUGUGAGAAGUACAGAUUCACAAAAUGUUAAGAAUUCUAUGAAUACAGAAGAGAAUUUGGAUACUACUGCGGCUUCUACAUCUGUGGUAACUAAUCAUCUAUCUGAUAGUGUUGUGUGUCCUACUGGGCCCUCCAAUCAGGUUCCACAAUCAGUUGAAAGAGAAGAGGGAGAGUGGUCUGAUGCAGAUGGUGCUUCUGACACAGCAGGUAGUAGUGUCAGCAACAAGGAAGAAUCUGCUGGUACUGCAAGUACUCAAGUGAAAAGAGAGUCCCAAGAGAGUGGACCUGCUAUUGUUAAAUGUAGUGAUGUGAUUAAAGAUGACAUUGCUGCUGAACCUGGUGACACUGAAAUGUCUGAUGUGUCUAAAGGUCCAGUCCUUCAUGGUCCGACAGGACUAGAGAGCAUGAAAACUUCUGAAUCUAAAGGAAGUCAACCUGUGGAUGAUUUGGACCAGUGCACUAAGUCAAAGGAUGUCAGAGGAGUAGAAGCCAGUUAUGCAUUGAAGUGCACGAACAACCCUGCGAAGAGACCUAAGUUAGAUGAUCACAAAGUUGCAAUGCUUGGUAAAAAGCGAGCGAGGCAGACUGUGUUCAUCAAUGUUGAGGAUGCAAAACAAGCUGGCACAAUGAAGACAAUUACACCGAGGAGACAGUCAUCUUUUCCAGCACCAAUUGUUACACGUACCGUGAAGGAAGCUUCUCGCGGUGUUGGUGAAAGAGCUGCAGACAAGCAGAGCCAACCAGUCAUCAGGGAUCAGAGACAAUCUGAGAUGAUUGGUUCAGAAAGAAGUAAUUCUGCAGAUCCUUGUGACCAAAAUGGAGAAUCUAAUGGUGAUUUUGAGUUGGGAUCUCACGGCAGGUCAAAGAAAAUGAAUGCCGAAGAACCCCCCUCAGAUAGUUACCAACAAUCUGUGCCAAGGCAGGCCUUUUCAAAGCAGCCCACGGAUUCCAAGCAGUUCAAAGGCAGACCAGUCUCUUCUCAAAGAGCACUUCUAACAGGACAACAUACUGCAGAUCAGAAGCCAGCUAACAAAAGGUCUCUUGUUCCAAAGAAGCAAGCUUCAGUUAAUAAUACACAGUAUAAUGACACAUCUGUCGAACGACUUAUACGGGAAGUGACAAAUGGCAAGUUCUGGCACAAUCCAGAGGAGGAAGAACUUCAGUGUGUUCCUGGAAGCUUUGAUUCUGCCGAGGAGUACAUUAGAGUUUUUGAGCCUUUGCUUUUUGAGGAAUGCAGAGCUCAGCUAUAUAGUUCCUACGAGGAGAGUCUUGAGGCUGUAUCAAGGGACGCACAUGUAAUGGUGCGCGUGAAAAGUGUGGAUAGGCGUGAACGAGGAUGGUAUGAUGUUAUUGUUUUGCCAACACAUGAAUAUAAAUGGACUUUUAAAGAAGGCGAAGUUGCAAUUUUGUCGUCCCCCCGGCCUGGUUCAGCUGCCCAAUCAAGUAGAUCUAAUAGGAAGACCGCUGCUUCAAAUGAAGACGCUGAAGCUGACUGUGGACGGCUUGUAGGUACAGUCAGACGCCAUACGCCUAUUGAUACGCGUGAUCCCAUUGGAGCAAUUAUCCAUUUUUAUGCUGGGGAUUCAUUUGAUUGUAGCAGCGAGACUAAUGUUCUGAGGAAACUGCAACCUGGAAGCACCUGGUAUCUAACGGGUCUUGGUUCCCUUGCAACAACACAAAGGGAAUAUGUAGCAUUGCAUGCACUCCGCCGUCUUAAUGUGCAGAUGCAAAACGCAAUUCUUCAGCCAAGUCCAGAGCACUUCCCAAAAUAUCAAGAGCAGCCGCCUGCUAUGCCUGACUGUUUCACUCCAAGUUUUUCUGAUCAUAUCAAUCGUACUUUCAAUGGGCCUCAGCUAUCGGCAAUUCAUUGGGCUGCAAUGCACACAGCUGCUGGCACAAGCAAUGGAGUGGUUAAGAAACAAGAACCAUGGCCUUUCACGUUAGUACAAGGUCCUCCGGGGACAGGGAAAACCCAUACUGUGUGGGGAAUGUUAAAUGUUAUUCAUCUUGUUCAGUAUCAACACUACUAUGCUGCUCUGCUAAAGAAACUUGCUCCUGAAAGUUACAAGCAAGUUGGUAGUACCACUAACAGCAGCUCGGAGGCUUUUGCUGCGGGGUCUAUUGAUGAAGUUUUGCAGAGCAUGGAUCAGAACCUUUUCCGCGCUCUUCCCAAGCUUUGCCCCAAACCACGGAUGCUUGUGUGCGCCCCAUCAAAUGCUGCAACAGAUGAGCUGCUUUCUCGUGUUCUUGACCGAGGUUUCAUAGAUGGUGAGAUGAAGGUUUACCGCCCUGAUGUUGCCCGUGUUGGAGUUGACACACAGUCUCGUGCAGCCCAAGCUGUAUCAGUUGAGCGACGGACGGAACAGCUUUUAAUGAAGGGCCGUGAUGAAGUAAUUGGGUGGUUACAGCAGCUAAAAGGCCGUGAGCAGCAGUUAUCACAGGAGAUAGGGCUUCUACAGAGGGAACUUAAUAUCGUUGCAGCAGCUGGUAGAUCCCAUGGUUCAGUUGGGGUAGAUCCUGAUGUGCUUGCUCACAGGGAUCGUAACCGUGACAUUCUGCUUCAAAAACUUGCUGCCUCUGUAGAAAGCAGGGAUAAAGUACUUGUAGAGAUGUCAAGGCUGCUGAUAUUAGAAAGCAGGUUCCGUGUUGGCAGCAACUUCAAUCUGGAAGAUGCUAGGUCUAAUCUAGAAGCCAGUUUUGCCAACGAAGCAGAAAUUGUUUUUACAACAGUGUCAAGCAGCGGGCGCAGAUUAUUUUCUCGCCUUAGUCAUGGUUUCGAUAUGGUUGUUAUUGAUGAGGCUGCUCAGGCCAGUGAAGUAGGAGUCCUCCCUCCACUUGCACUUGGUGCCGCUAGAUGUGUCUUGGUAGGUGAUCCACAGCAGCUCCCUGCUACUGUUAUUAGUAAAGCGGCUGGAACUUUACUCUAUAGCAGGAGCCUUUUUGAGAGGUUUCAGCAGGCUGGUUGUCCUACCAUUUUAUUGUCAGUGCAAUAUCGGAUGCAUCCCCAGAUCCGAGAGUUUCCAUCACGAUACUUCUAUCAAGGCUGCCUUACAGACAGUGAAAGUGUUGUCAAACUGCCUGAUGAGUUGUAUUACAAAGAUGCAUUAAUGGCACCUUACAUUUUUUAUGACAUCUCACAUGGUCGUGAGUCUCAUAGAGGUGGAUCAUCUUCAUACCAGAAUGUUCAUGAAGCUCAGUUUGCAUUGCGUUUAUACGAGCAUCUUCAGAGGCUUGUGAAAGUUAAUGGUGGUAAGAAGGCAUCUGUUGGUAUAAUCACUCCAUAUAAGUUGCAGUUGAAGUGUCUUCAGCGGGAAUUUGAGGAGGUCAUGAAUACCGAGGAAGGGAAAGAUAUCUACAUAAACACAGUAGAUGCUUUUCAAGGCCAGGAGCGUGAUGUGAUUAUCAUGUCAUGCGUGCGUGCUUCAAACCAUGGCGUGGGUUUUGUUGCAGAUAUACGGCGCAUGAAUGUUGCUCUUACUCGAGCUAGGAGAGCUCUAUGGGUUGUUGGUAAUGCCAGUGCUCUCAUGCAGUCAGAGGACUGGGCGGCGCUGGUAGCUGAUGCAAAGGCCAGGAAAUGUUUCAUGGACUUGGAUAGCAUCCCCAAGGACUUUCUGGCCAUGAAGAUCUCUUCCAACACUCCAGGAAGGAAUUCUUCGAACAACCCAAGGAACUUGAGGACUGGUGGACCAAGACCCAGGCAUCUGGACAUGCUUCCGGACCCCAGGAUUGGCAUGAGGGCUGAUGAGGAUGAGCGUCCUAACUCUGUUCCAAGAAAUGCUAGUUACCGGAAUUUGGAUGACCUGGGACGCUCUGGUGAUAGAUCUAGGGAAAGUUUGCAGUUUGGAGUGGCCAAGAGGCCGAAUUCAUCCAAUGGUUCUCGGAGAGAAGUCUGAAGACAAUGCAUUGCUAUCUUCAUCUUUGCGAGCGCGUAACAAUGAUGAGUUUCCUUGGGAUGAAGCUUGGUUGGAGCAAAGCAUCACCUAUUGGAAGAUGUACACCCUGGGUGGGUUGUGUUAAGGAGAAGGCAUUGCUUUUGACAUAAUGAGAGGAUUCUUUAUGAAAUGAGUAGGCCUCUCGGCGGCAUGUUGCAACAAUAGCCACUGACGGCAGGCCAAUCAGAUCGUCAGAUGGCGCUCUGUUGGGUGGUUCAGAUUACAGUAGAAAAAGGCUGCCCCAGGUCCUCAGUAUUCUGCAAUUGUGCAGGACGCAUUUGGGCUGUUGAUAUAACCAGACUUCAACAAGGCUGCAGCUGGAUGGUCUCUUUCUGGGAUUGCAAUACUAACAGGAUACCAUCUUUCUCAUAGAUAUAAAUACAUGCGCAUGGGCAUUUCCAUUUUGAGACAUGCCAGGAGAGAUAAAUCUCACUGGCCCUAGAGCAGGGUAUACCUGAUGGUGUUUCAUAAUCUGUCAGACGAGUGAGGACACAUCUUAGCUUGGAAUGCUGCUGGUUCGGUGGUGGUCCUCUGAGAUGUCAGAAUUUCAGAAUGCUGAGGGCUAUGACUUCGAUCCUGGCUGGGUGCUGCUGGACGGUGGUGGUCGUCGAAGAUCUCAGGGUGUUUCCUAUUCUGUUGGGUUUGGUGCUGUUGUACGACACGAAAAGAGUACUUGCCAGCUUGGCCCAGGACGACCUUACGUCCAAGCUGGAGUGCUUUUCUGGUUGAAAACGAACAUGCUGCGAACUGUGAUUAUUUCAAUUCGCAACGUAACACAGACUGUGAUUAUUUUUUCUGGCGAAAAGGAUCUGAUACAUUAUAAAGAUUCACUCAUCUCAAGCACUUGCCGCUGCUCGAACAAGCUGUUGACGCUCUAUACCGGGGCUGGCCUGUCCUCUUUGCGCAAGUGCUCAAUGCUGUUAGGAUUUAAUUAUCCUAUUAAUCCCUACUUUUCCUAAUUGAGGUGGUUGCUUACCCUUCAAAGGCUAUAUAUAUGUGUGUGUGUGUGUGUAAUCCCAUCAUCAAUGAGGACGACUGAUUUGUGUC